CACAAAUUUUGAAUUCUUGGUAACUAAUUUAAAAGUUAUUUUUAAUUAAUAUUAUUGUCACUUGUAUGGGUCAUUGGCAAUUGCUAGUAAUUGUUCUGGAUAGUUCUCUUGUAGUUCUCUUAUGUUCCUUGCAUAAGAAAGCUAACACAUUGUCCAUCAAAAAUAUUUUAGAGGCGUAAGUUUUCCUUUCUAUUUUGUUUCCUUCCUAUAUGAUUAUAAUGAUAUAAUGAAUGUAUAUCUUUUGUAGGUCUUUGGAGGCUAUUUCAAGGUUGUGGGGUAUUCCAUCUGUAUCAAGGAAGAAGAUGCAAAUAGUGACACCUAAUGUAAGAGAAGUUGACCUUGUUCUGUAUUUUAUGAUUUUGCUAUUCUUAUGAGGAAUUGGCUUAUUGGUUUACCAAAAUUGAUCAAAGCUACAUGGUACAAAGGCUAUAGCUAGAGUAUAAUAUGAUCUUUUGUGCCCUUAGUUUGAAUGAGUUUUGAUUAUUUAUGUUUAAUUUACAGUGUCAACAUCAAUUGGGCAGCUAUGAGUGUGGGUAUUACGUAAUGAAGCACAUGCACACCAUUAUUUGUACAAACAUUACUGAUUCAUGGAAUAAGAUCUUUAAUGAUUCAUCUCCAAUGGAAGCUCCAGACAUUGAAGACAUUAGAACUAAGUGGGCUUCUUUUAUUUUAAGUGUUAGUAAAUUGUAGAAACUUGACUACAAUGUAGUGUAGGUUAAUGUUAUAUUUGGAUUUAAUAUAUGGUUUGAUGUACAAAUUAUGUAUUAAAUAUUAUUACACAAUUUAAUGUUUGAAAUGAAUUUCAUUAUGUUAGUUUAA